UUACGGUCAAAUCACGCUGAAACACCGGUUCUCGUACGAUCACCGAAGUUAAGCAUCGUAGAGCCAGGUCAGUACUUG